CUGGGCAUGAGACUGGGAACGGAGAGCAGUACUGGGAACGGAGACAGGGACUGGGGUAGAGAGCAGGAACCGGAACCAGGGCCAGGGACUGGGAUGAAGACCGGGAACCAGAGGCAGGGCACAGGAAGAAGGAACAGGCACCAGAAUGGGGAACAGGGGCCAAAUACCGGGGUACAGGGACAGAGACAGAUACUGGGGACCGGGGACAAGAGCUCGGAACAGGGACUGGUGACGCGGUGAGGGAGGUGAUGGCUUCUCCCGGGUCCCUGCCCGGCCUGGCCCCUCAGCCCCGGGCAAGGGAGAAAUCGCAGGGCCUACAGCCCGGAGGCAUAACUAAUGUUUAUUACUGAGGAAACAACACUAACAAAUUCUGCCCUUUAAUCACAGAAUCGCUGAGGUUGGAAAAGACCUCCGAGGUCAUGGAGUCCAACCUGAGACCGAUCCCCACCUUGUCACCCCAGCCAUGGCACUGAGUGCCACAUCGCUGAGGUGAAGAUCAGGAAGCAGAAGUCACACACAUCUUUAGGGAGAGACUCAGUGAUACAGGACAGUGAGCCUUGGCUUCAUUCCAAAGAACUGUCUUUGGAGAUAUUUAGAAGGAGGAUGGCCAAGAAGACUGAGCAGUGUUUGUGUGAAGAGUGGACUGGGCAGAUGAAGAGUUGCCACAGGCUUUCAGGGGAUCACCAAAUCUGUGCCAGUCCUUCAGAGAAAUGAGCCCACCCUCUGAAAUGCUUAAUCCAGGUAGGAUUGUUGGAAAGUGUAGUUCAAGGCCUUCCUCCAGGUGAGAUUCUUCAAUGAUUCCUGAGCCUUUUCUGGAGCUGUAUAGCCAGUGGUGGUCCAAUCCAAAUACUUAUCAAUACAGGUUUAAAUCCCACAUCUUAGGUCAGUGGGUACAUCCAGCUGGUUCAGAUGUUUCUCAUCAAUGCCACCCCAUCCUUAUGAGUCCUUUUAUUCCCUUUUCCCCUGUUUUCUCCUAAAUGCUACAGCGAUCUCUCUACUUGCUUCUUUAUUUUGCUAGAGUGCCUUUUCCAGACCUAUGUUCCUUAGAUGUAGACACACAAAAUAUUUUGUACUUCUAUGGCACCUUCUGUUGAAGAAAGAGCCUUUUAGAAGAGCUGGAAGAGAAGGAAUUAUCACCAAUAAACAAGGCUGAGCAACUUCAAAGAGACAGCCUGAUUUGCCUGGGGAUGCACAAAAAUCAGCAAAAGAAAGGAAAAAAAACCUGAACAUUUAUCUCCUGUCUCCCUUUAGCUUUUUUUUUCUAUAAAGUAUAUUUCCUUUGCUUAUUCAUAACACCUUUAAGAAUACCAAAAAUCUUCUGACCUUCCUAUGAAAAAUAACUGAAGACAAACAUCUGGUGUAAAAUCAAUAUUUCUUAGUAGGCAAAAAGAUCAAACAAACUCAUUUUCUGUAGAAUCUGUCUGAUUCUCUCCAAAAGGUUUGCUGCUGAGAUAGCUUCCCUGCCUCACACAGGCAGCCUUAAGAAGCUCCUUUCUCCUCUGGGACCACAGGAGGUUUCACAUUAUGUUGUUAACCUCCCUCAGAUCAUCCCCUCCAUGCACAAUCCCAGUCACAUUUACAUGCAGACAUAAUGUCACUCAGCCCACUUGAUGCCACUUACAUCUCCUUGUUGCUAUGGGGAAUACUGAUAAGGAAACCAAUUAGCAAAUAAAAUAUUUGAGGCCCAAUGUGAAAGCCACUGCUCGGUGGAUUUGUGUGUGUUAAGCAGUGACAUUUCAUUUGGCAUUUGUCCUUACCUAGCAGAGCUUCUUCCACUGCAUUCUAUGUAGUCAAAACAUGCUCUUCUUGGGAUUUAGAGGCUUAGACGUGCAACUGUAUGUGACCCCGGGGAAUUUUUACAGCUCUCAGGAGAAGUGGGAGCUUGGAAAGCGCGUUUGCAGCAUGGAAGUGCCAAGAGCACCAUCCAGUGCUUGAGCUGAGUAAACACACAAGAACUCGGUGGUGCUGGGACAGAGGCAGCUCUGCACAUCCCAUGGUCCAGCUGCACCUGCUGGGAUGCACCAGGAGUUCAUGGAAAGAGACCACAGUUAGAAAAGGGACUUAUAGGGGAAGGCUGGCAGGGCUGUCAGCCUCUCAGAAGGGCAGGAGACAACCGAGAAGGUCACAUCUUUUAGAGAAGAGCUGUAUUCUGAGUUGGAGUUACUGACUGAGGGAGCAAGAGAUACAAGGAAGGAGGAAGUGGAGGUGGCAAUAGAUGGGGCCAGUUAAGAAAAGUAGGUGAAUUAAAUCCAUGAUGGAGAGGAGAGAGAACUGGGCCAGAUACUUAUUCUGUUAUUCUUCCUCUUUGCAGAGCUGAAACAGCAGAAAGAGACUAGGAGGGUGCACUGGCAGCUGAGAAAAUAAAGGAGAAGUGACCUCAGCUGCCACUGCACAGUCUCAACAGCCUGGUACUGUUUGACAAAUGUGAUGGAGAAAGAAGAAAGAGAGGUUAUCCAGAGGUUUUGGGAAGAGAUUGUCUGAUGUGUCUGCAGAGUGAGACCCUGUUUGAGAGCUUUGGUCUGUGUAAAAUGUGCCUGCCCACCACAGAGCCCUCGUGGGGAUUUAUCCAUGCAACACCUGCCUGCCAGGGAAGGACGGAUGCCACUCGACAGAUGGAGGUGCCCAUAUUGCUGCCACACAACAUUCCACAGGCCUGGUCUUCCCAAAAUCAUCCCACUGCUGGGCACAGCGAGGAGGGGCAGGCUCUCACAUCCCAGCUGUGACUGCAGAGGUGAGUCACAGGCUGGUGCAUAUGAACCACCCAAUUUAGAAGUGUUUGAGAUUAAUACUUUCACUUUAGGAAAUGUUUCAGCCAAGGAAGGCUGAGUACACAGAGCUACUGUUACCCUGGCUGAGACUUUGGACAUUUGGCUUCACUCCUGGACAGAUUUUCCUAUGAGUGGUGUUUUCCCCUGUAAAUUUUACCAAAUUCACCUGCUUAGAGGCUCUGACUCCUGGAUCUAUGACCAAAGCUAUGAAAGAGCACCAAAUGGGAAUUCCUAAAUUGCACAAUUGAGAGUAUGUAAGGCAACUGUUUCAUGUAUAGUAACCAAGAAAAAUGUCUCACAAUGUAACAUUCUCUGCUACUAAGAAAAUAAGGUACUUUGAGUUACAUUCCUUUAAGAUGUCUUGCUAUGUUUAAAGGGCUGGAUUUUUUCUCUUUUGUCUUGUUUUCAGGCUUGAUACAUCAAGAAAACUUCAGAGGAGUUAUUAUUGCCUCACACCAAUGUAAGGCGAAAGAGAAGCAAGUAAUUCAUGUUUAAUGUUGUUUUGUGCCAGAUGUUUUGCUGGUAGAAAUCCAUAGCUCCACAGGCAUCAAUUUCUUCAGGAUCUGGAAUGUUUGACACAAUUUUUUUUUCUCCUUUCUGGAUGGUCUGUAAAGGAAGCUGCUUGGUUUUGCAAUGUUGAAUAUUCACGCUGAGAAGUUAUAAGCAAAAACAAAAUAAUGAGAGACAGGGUCUCUAAUAAGCUUCCUGUCACAUGAGGCUGUGGUUCUGGUGCAGCAGAUGUGGUUGCUGACUUGUUUCCAAAAUGUUUGUUGAGUGGUGAUUAGAUUCUGUCAUAGUGAUGUUAUAUCUCUGUGAUCUCAUUCAAUACAAGUAGUUCUGCAAACAGUGAAAUAUUUUUUUCCUAUGGAUUUAUAUCUUGGAUUGUGUUUAGGCAUGGAUUCUCUGAUGUGUAAUGGGAAUUUAAUUCAUUUUAGCCUAUUUCUUCAAUGAGAAAUGAAUAAUCUGUCUUGACUUGGCUGUCAGUUUUCACAGACUUGCAGAAAUUAAAUAUCUUAAGUUCUAAAAAUCUGAGUGGGAAUUAUGAACCAGUUCCAACACUGUUUGGGGCCAAUUCAUAUAAACAAACAUAAACAUGAGUCUCAUUUUCUUACAAAAGCAAAAGAUAAGAAUAAUCUUUUUUUACUUUGUAUUUCCACAUUACCUGCUUGAUUAUCUGCUGGUUUAUUUGUGAUCAACCAUAGAAGAUAUGCUUUAUUUGUAAAGCUGUAUGAAAUAUGGGACUUUUUUCCACAUUGAAUGCAUAUUAACUCAUCAUUAAUUUAUGCUUGUUACAGGCCACACAAGAGGUCACAUUCUCUUUUUAUUGUCCUUGCUGGAGCAUGGGAAAGAAGUGACAUGCAUUUCAACUUACAUGUUUGCACAGACAAGUGCAGAGAAAACUAAUUCUAAAGGAAAAAUUAUCUAUUCUAUCACCAGUUCUGGUGAAGGAAAUGUAGAAUUAAAAUUAUCUUUUGGAUUGCUGAGUCCAGUCUUCUGCUCCUGUAGUGAGCCAAGUUUCCAAUCUUUUUCAUAAACAGCUUGGUGCUAUUCAAAAAUAUGCUCUUUCCUCCUUGUUGUCUCUCCUAUUCUCCCAGUUUCCCACUUUAUUUGGUGUUUGUUCCAGAAUUUCCUUCUUUUGAUGGGAAAAAAACAUUUUAAUUUCCAUUGUCAGUUUAGAUAUGUUUCUCUUGUUCUGUGAAAUUCCUAAAAAAUUAAUUACUGCAGGUAGCCAUGUCUGUAUAGGGAAUAAGGGAGGAAAACCCUUAGAAGAGGAUAGAAAAUCUUCACUUGGGUAAAUUCUUAAGUCUGUUGGAAACUAGGCUUUAACAGCACUUAGCAUAAAGUGUUUGUGUAUCUGAUACUACCAGGUUUUCUGGGACUGGCAAAUGAAUUAUUUAAUAAUGGAAACUGCAUGUGCAUGUGUUUGGCUUCUGUAGUUUCACAUGAUAGAAACUGUAAGAGUGUCUGCAGGGAUCACAACUGCACAACCUUGUAUCUUACACCCUUUGUCUUAACAGGGCUCAGAAAUUCCCAUUUAGCUGGGUAAAAGAGAGAGAACAGAGUGGCAAGUCUCAGCUUUUAUUGCUAAUGCUUUAAUGUAAAAUAACAUUUAUGGUCUGUAGAUUUGGUUCUGUGUAGGUCUGUGUGACUUAAAAUUUAUUACACCACUUCAUAUUUGUGCAUCUCUCUCCAGUUCCUGGAUAUCAAAAUAUUAAAGGUCCAAAAGGUUACCAUUAUGUUAAUAGAUCCAGAUAUACCCAGUAUUUAACUUCCCUGUGCAAAGGAACUGCAUCAAGGACUGGCUUGUCCUGUUAGCAUGUGACAGUGUCAGCCCCGUGUGCUGCUGCAAAGCUUCAUGGAGCCUUAGAGAAUAAAACAGAAAAAAGCCAAGUGUACGCUCAAUGGAAAACAGAUGGAGUUUUCAUUAGAUAUUACUUUUAAUGAUCUGCUUUAAAAGUAAAGAUACACCAUUCUGAGCAGAAGGGCCUCAUAAUAGCUGUGUUUGAGUCCCAGGCUCAUUAACUUAGCUACAGAUAAGCAAGACUGCAAGAUCUUUGUAUCAUUAGAGGUUCCAGUCAAGCUUGCCUACCAUUAUUAGAAUUCCAAACACAGCAGAACUAUUUUGGAGCCUUAACAAUAAUUUAUCCUGAAGAUGUAUCUUUAUUUAAUGAUUCAGAGUUGUUAUUAUGGGCCUGGCAGUCAGUUGCUCAGUUUCUGGAGUAUUACCAUUUAACCUAGGUCAGGAUAAAAAUCCUGGAAUAUUCAUUGCAGGGCAGAGCUGAGGGUCUGUUCUUUACAGUCCACUUGGGUGUGACUGUCCCAAAUGGUGCCACUGGCUGUGAGAGGUGACCUCAGCAGUCUACAAAACCUGAAGAUCCCUCCUAAAAAGAGGGACCCUGCAAGCUGUGCCUGUGGGUACUAAAUCAACUUUUGACAUGUAAAGAACAAUGCAAUCCCAGGGUUUUAGGAGUAGAUGCUUGCUGCCAAACCACAAGAAAUGCUUUUGUCUGGAACUCAUGGAGCAGUAACAUAGCAGUGGAGGGUGUACCCUUGUCUGUUAUUCCCUCUGAGCAAUUUCUCAGAGACUUGUUACCAGGAUUCAGAUAGAUUUCAUGGAACUAGGAGAGAAAUAGGCUUUAAUUUCCUUACAAAAGGAGGGAGAGACAAUAGAACUCAGCAGAACAUGGCAUUUUUUUGUUUCUGUCUGACAGUUAUGCAAGCAAAACCCAGUGCCCAUCUUCAGGCAGUACUUUCUAAAGUGAGACUCAUGUGAGAAAAUUUGUGUUAUCUUUCUUCUGGUAUGAGUUGAUAAAACUGCUUCAUUUCCUCUGCAUGUGAGUACAACCUAUGUCUUCAGCUGAUCUCCAGCUGGGGAGCACAAAUCAGAAUCCAAGUUCCUCAAAGUUCAAGGAAGUUUGGAGAUGAUGUUCUGGUUCACUGCUGCCUCUGCAGAAAAAUACCUGCAUGAAUAAUAAAAAAACCCCAGCCUCUUGUUUUCAUAAGAGGCGGACUAGAAGGAUCAAGUCCAGUGACAAUCUAUCACAAACUGCUAAUUAAAUACUGUUAUGGAACCAGGUUUUUCCCACUCUGUUAGAAACCUUCUUUAACUUCCAGACUAGAGUUAUUGGUUGGCUAGUUUGUUCAUAUUUAGUAUUGUGCCAAAGCUGUCUUUUAGUUUAGAUUUUUACACACAAUGCGUUAGAUUUCCUCUGUUUAUAGUUAGGUUUGUGUACCUUAGUUACAAUGGUCCAACCCUUUUUCAACAACAUUUCUGCUCUUCUGAUUGCUCCUGCUACCUUAUGUCCAAGUAAUUGCAGUGAAUUUCUUCCGUUGUGAUUUAUUUGCAGACAUCAAGGAUAUCCCCUUGCUAUGUUGCUAGAGUGAAAAAACAACACUUCUUAUACAAUGGUUUCUUUCCUCUUUAGCCAUUCAGUGGCCUUUUCCUGAUUCAGUGUAUUUGGCCAUUUUGAGUGGCCAAAUCAGAACAAGCCAGUUCCAUCAUAGUGGUGAUUCCAGCACGAGGUGAGAGGUUCCUACUGUAGUUUGUGAAGAAUUUUCACAGGAUAAAUUCUCAGCAAAUUCUAAGCAGGUUCCUUUCCAAGGUGUCUAGUUAUGCAAAGCUCACUCGCCAAACUUGUCCUAAGUAAAUAAUCUGUAUGCAUCAAUGCAAAAAUGCACACCUGAAGUGACAAAAGGCUUGCUUUGUACAGGGGAGUUAACCCCUGCACUGCUCGGGGAGCAGCACAUGGUACUCCUGGGUGCCCUGGUGUCUGUGUGCACACACAGCACUGACUGAAGCUGGGGGAAUUACUGCUGCAGUGUUUCCAGAGUCUUGCGGAAGGCAACUUCUCAACAAGGUACAUUGGUAUUUGGCAGAUCUUUGCUGCAUCAAGUAUUCCACCAGUAGAUAAUUCUGGAGAAAUGAUUAAGAGGAAAUGCAAGUGACCUCCAUAGCAAGGUACUCCUGUUGAGAAGUUGAGUUGUUUAAGAUGUGUUUUUUAGAGGUCCUGGAUACCUUCUAGAAGUUGUUUCUUAAAGCAUCUGCAUGUCAGCACCCUAGAUAUUUUAAACUGAGCAUGCAAAACCCCAGCAUGGAUGGGCACUCUUCAAUGAGGAGGCCUACAUGACUCCCUUUAGUUACUUGGCAGCACAAUAAUAGAAAUAGGAACGUGGGAUUUCUUAUGUCUAUUGUGUCCAUUAGAACAAUACUGCUGAGAGCAACUGAGACCAAAGGCCUGGCCUUCAAAAUAUAUGACUUGAAAAGAAAGCUGCAUUUUUUUUUGUAAGGUCCAAAUGUAUUUCAUUCAGCUGUGCUGCUACUCUCAAAGUUUAGUUGUAAACAAGUCACACAUCUGGAUAGCACUGCCUGUAACUGUCUUCAUCCUCACCAGGAGUUACUGGCUUCACAAUGUUCUGUGUGUGUAGAAAACAGCUUGUAAGAGGUAACCUGAGCAAACUCUUACAACUAAAGAGCUUAAGUACCUUCAAUGACCUGCCUGCAAAGUAGCCACAGUCUUUAACUUUAUGGGUAUAACCCUAAAGUCUUGAAAUCCUGCAUUUUAGCCCUGCAGAGCUCCUCUGAUUCUGACUGGUCCCUAUCAAAUUUCCAUGCUGACUCUUUGUCCAGACAGAUCAGCUGUCCAGAGCAAUGGUGUCCUAACUGCUUUUGUGGGAGGUGAGUAGAACUCACAUACAGCUAUAAAGGGUUUUGUAGCUAUACAGCAAUAAAACUUUGAAAACCAUUUCUGUACAUCAUAAACAAAAUUAAGUAAGCUGUCAGAAUUAUCAUUACUCAGUGCCAAAAUAAUGUUGCACCUGAAUAACUUCUGUUGAAGUGACAGGUUGUUUUCUCACUGCAUGGUUGGCAUAUCCUGGAAACUUUGGAUUCUGCACUCUAGAGACUAAAUUUAUUUGGAUUAAUUAAUAUUUAAAAUGUUCUAUGCUCCUGAUUCCAGCCUCAGCUCCCAAAACCAUGACAGAAAAACAACUGGAAAAUAUACCCACUGAAUUCCAGUAUGGACAGGGAUCCACAGAAAGGGAUAGGGAACUUGGAGACUCCCAAUUUGUGCACAGCUGAUACAAGGCCAGGGUUUGGAGUUCUUGGCUGCUGACAGGAUGAGAAGGGGACAUGACCUGUUCACUCUAAGAGACUGAGGACAUGUGGAGAAGGCUGCAUUUUGGAGGAAUUGAGACUUCACUGGUUGUCUGCCUUUCUCUUGGAACAGCCAUUCCAAAAAGUCUUUACAAACUUCCCAGCAUGGUGGUGAGGUCCUCAGCAUGGAAGAAUAAAAUCAGAGUGCUCUUGCUGCAAAGCUGCUGUUCUCCUCUGCUCCUAGACUGUCCCUACUCCCAAGCACACAACUUGCCUGCUGAUUUGUGGCUGAUUGCCACAUGCUCCCAGUUUCCUUUACACUUGCCUGGCAUUUCCUUGGCCUUCCAAGCAGAAAUAGGACAGAGCACAGAAGAGCCCCUCAUAAACCACCUGGCUUGAGGCACGGAGACACAGCUGUCCCCACAGUCUGAGUACCACCAGGAUGUGGCACCUCCUGGGGCUCUGCAGGCUCUGAGAGCCCAGAAAGGCAGAGGCAGAGACCCACGGGUGUUCCUUGGCAUUCCCUCACCUCUCUCCUAGCUGGCCUUUGUAAAUCAUUAAUGAAAGAUACUUCUGAAUAAACACUUUCUCUGUUAUCUUCUCCAGUACUAAGGAUUAAUUUUGCAUGAGUCUAUGCCUUUACUGCUCUUCAGCAGUGACAGAACUUCAUUUCUGGGCCAGAUUUUAUGAAUGAUGUUCCAUAUUUAUUAUGUAUUAUGACCUUUUUGGAUGAUACAAAGUUGAGUCUAGACAUCUGUCUUUGGUUCUAACACUUUUUCUUCUCUGAUGAACAGUGUGUUGCAGUCUAUAGAUACCUGUAAUUUACAACUUCUUUUGAGUUUAAGAUCAUGAUUGACAUUUUAUAUAAAGCAAGGUGGUGAACAGGAGUUCAUUGACUUUUCAACCCUGGAAUCACCCAAACAGUUUUACAUUCCAAGUAAAAUAUCUGGUAGGUUUCACACCAGUCAUUUACCAGUGAAUAUCACAAUGUUGCUGUUGGAAAAAAACCUGAAUUUAUUAAGGCAGUAUAUUUUAAAAAUUGGCUCCAGCACCACACAGCUGGAAACAAGGAAAAAGUAAUCUAAGGCAGCAUGUAAAAAACUGUUCUCUAGUUAGACUGUGUAUUUUUAAUAACUGCUUCCAACAGACCACCCUAUGACACUGAUUGCAAGCACAGAAAGCCUGAUUGUUCAAAAGCCACCUAAAUAAGACAGAUGUUGAAAUGCCAACCUCCCACUAUCCACCUCCAACCUAUUCUUUUCAUCUUUUUUGGCUUAUUUCACUUGUUUAUUUCCUGGUGUCCUUUCUCUCACUGGUGUUUUCCUUCAGUACCACCCUCUUUGCCUCCAGAACCAACUGUAGCUUUUAGCUUUAAUGGCAGAACAAGAACUGUUCAGAGAUCUUUUAAUCUUUCACCUCACAUGUCCCUUGCACAAGGACAGGCUACUCACUGCUCAGAGAAGAACUAUGAAAAUAGGAAAAAUACUAGAUUAAUUAAGCUUGAUCACCAAAAAACCCAAGAAUCUCUUACUCCUGUUGUCUUGCACUAAAAUACAAGAAGUGCUUCCUGGUUUAUAACAUACUUUCUCUAAAGGAUGUUUACUGUAAGACAGUGUCAAUGUGGUGUCAUUCCUUUGGCCACUUGGGUCCCAGUUUUUGAAAAUGUCUCUUGUUGUAGGCUGAAAUGUAUUACAACUUUAUCACUAUUUUCCUUACUAAAAAUGAAACAAGUUGAUAAGAGUUUCACAAACCCAUAAUUAACUUCCCCUUUGAGAACAAAGAGGAUGCAUUUUUAAAAUGUUUUUAUUGCUUAGUAAUUCACGAUACAAAAAAAUGUCUUCUGCAGCAAAACACACAAAGAGGAAUGAGUGCAAACCAAACAAAUCAGAAAGUAAAUUAUCUAUGAAACCACUUAUUUCAAUGCAACAGGGAACAGUAAAGUUUUGAAACAGCUUUUUCCUCCUCUGGAGAAUUCAGAACUUAUUGGAGCUCCUGACCUAAGUCAGAAUAUUGCAUUAAACCAAGAUUUCAAUUCCUUCCUCCCAGAGAGACCUAAACAUUGUCCUCACAACAUGUUCAUUUUGUUGGAAUAGAAGAAAAAUUUAAGUCUUGAGAAAGACUGCAACCUGCUCUGUCCUGCCAAGGCAAUGGCUGUGCCAUGUGCUCUCCUCAAGGGAAAGACAAGGACAGCUUGGAACAUAAAAAAUCCACAUGGUGGAUUCUACACCAUGACUUCUCAGAUCUCUAUUCCAAUCAGUUUGUACUGACUUCCAAAGACAAGCCUUCACCAGCUAACAUGAGCACUUUGCCCACAUGCUCCAGCAGAACUCCAGUGUCUUAUGUUCUGUCAGGCUUUCUUCUCCCAGCAGCCCUGCACAGAGGAAUUCUCAAGACAUGGCCCAUACCUUUGUAUUUUGAGCCACACUCACAUAGUAACACCUUCCUGUGCCUCUGAUGCCAAGGUGCAGCUACAAAGUUACACAAAUUCCUGGAUGUGCAGCCAUCUCCUUGACACCACAGUUCACUUGAUGUCACUCCUUGUUCACAGGCUGAAGUCUUUGUAGCCUGGCAAAUUCUCCUUGGGAGGGUCUGUUCACAGGAUAGUAUAGCUUACAAAGGGAAAAUUGUAUUUUUUCUUCCUUGUUCAGUAUCUUCUUUAAUAUUAUGAGAUAAUUGACAUUUCUU